UACGUAGGUGGCAAGCGUUGUCCGGAUUUACUGGGUGUAAAGGGCGUGUAGGCGGAGCUGCAAGUCAGAUGUGAAAUCCCGGAGCUCAACCCCGGAACUGCAUUUGAAACUGUAGCCCUUGAGUAUCGGAGAGGCAGGCGGAAUUCCUAGUGUAGCGGUGAAAUGCGUAGAUAUUAGGAGGAACACCAGUGGCGAAGGCGGCCUGCUGGACGACAACUGACGCUGAGGCGCGAAAGCGUGGGGAGCAAACAGG
rnacentral:rRNA from 1 species